CCCCGCAGGGGGAAGGCGGAAUGUCCCAGCAGCCCCCGCGCCGCCGGCCCGCGGGGUAGUGCCGUGUUGUGGGCGGUGCCGGCCGUGACAGGGCUGAGUUGGAAGCUGUGGUUAAGGGCCUCCGAGGGAGAGUUUGCACUAAGUUGCACCGAAGGGCAUCAGACAGGUUAGGAAGGAGCCUUUGAGGACCAUUUGGCCUACUCUUACAGCACCAUCUUCUAAAGUUCAUUAUUACUGCAUUUUACUGCAGUCACGAAAUAUCUAGAAAGAAAUCUGCGUGCAACUCAAGACUUCAGUAUCUGGCAAUUUGAAUUUAUGUCAGGUCUCUGCUGGUUUAAGCUGUGGCAAAACAUCAGAAAAAGUUAUCAAAGACUGUCCACUGAAGUGUGAAUCUUCCCUCUCCAUGCUGGUGCUCUACAAAGUCUCCAGAGGCUGCGGACUUACUCUGUGCUGCAACAUGGAAUUGUCUGUUUUCAAAGAGGAAGCAAAGCUGCAGAGGAAGGACUAAUUGAAGAGAGAAGUUGCUCAUUAGUUGCCCCCAGAGCCCUGCACUCAAAGCUUGCACUGCUUAGUAGCAGUAUCUCUAUCCCUCUUUAUCUACACAGGGUUGUACAGAUAAGUAGCAGUUAUUGCUGCUUAAGAAAGCCCCAGCCUUAAAAUUGCAUUUGUGCAUGUGUGACUGAACCCCACCAAACCCAAACACUGGCAGACUCCACUGACUACAGAGUAAUACUGGACAUCUCACCUUUAGGGCAGGCUCUGGCAGAAGGAUCCAAAUUAGGGUGCUAAAGACACAAUUUCACUUCUCAUGUGAAAACUGACUUGCAACCUUCCUUCCGCUAAUUUUGUCCCCUUCUUUUACUGCUUGUUUCUUUAAUCCCAAAUCUUUCCUUCUGUGUUUCCUAGGGUAAAAGCUUAUGCUCCCACCAAAAAUACCCUCUCUGGUGUAAGUCAAUGCCUUAGCAGGUGCCAGAGACCCCACUAGGCAGUGAGGUUAACAGGACAUGAUGUGAACAACACAGGAAAAGCAGGAACAGCAACUCUGCUUGCUUUUCAGACCCAGGUAACCUGAGGGCUGCACCCCUGUCCCCAAGGAAGAGGAAUGCCCCUGCUCAGCUCAGUUAGACCCUCUCCAUGACACUAGUGUACUUAUCCCCAGCAUGCAGGUGUUGAUUUCAACUCCCUCCAACCCUCCUUGUUUGCCUGAAGUGCCUAGGAUUGGGUGGAAUUUACAGUCAUUUUGUCCUUGUCAUAAUGGGAGAAUCCCCCACAGUCAGAAAACCUCUUUACCUCAGUACUUAUGACCAAAAUUGAUAAGCAAUUACAAAGCUAAAGUAUUAAAUAUAAUUAAAUUCUUCCAUGAAAUAACAUUGCUAGGUUAAAAAAAAAAAAAAAAAAGCAAUUUUUUGCCUCUGUAGUCUUUUUGCCCCAUGUAAUUCCCUUCUCUGAGCCCAAGUCUUCAUUUAAAAAGGAACUAGCUUCAAAAGCCACCCGCAGGUGCCAGGUGUUCAGUAACUGUCUUUGGUUAACUUUAAGCCUGGAUAUUUAUUAACACCACAAGUUACCCAGUUUACUUCUGGAGGAGAACAUGGGAACAAAUCAAACAUGUGCAAAUUCAGACCAUCUAGCACCAAGAUACGGGAGCUGGGUUUUGGUCAGUGCAGAUGUCCCUGAACAUGGUGCCUGGGUAAGGAGUGCCUCAGCUUCUGUCCCUCCAUUCACACUUGCCCAUCACAUCCCUGCCACGAAAACCAUAAAUUGCCAAGCAGAGUAACAAAACCAUCCAAUUUUUCCAUAGUUUCACUUAAUGAGAUGUCUGGAGCUCUUGCAUUCUCUGCUGUAAGUGAUUAGGUAUUUAUGGAGUCUCAUGAAUUCCCAAGUCUAACGGGACAGAAGUUUGUCCUACUGCUUCCAAACUUUAUGAGCUUCUCCCCACUUUACCAGCCACCAGUUUUCUCAAGACAAAUGGAUUAAAACACUAAAAUGAAUUGAUGUGGAUACAUACAGAUGCUGUGAACCCAUGUCUUAUCUCUAGAGGAAACAUCUGAUUGCAGGCUGUUAAGCUUACCUGCUUUUAUACACUAACAAAGUUUCCUUGGCUGAGUUUUCCUUUCAUUUCUAAGACAGCUUCUGGAAUAACCAUCCAGUGAAACAAAGCUUAAGCUAGAUCUCUCUCUUAUUUUAGCUAUUCAUAAUGACCGUUUUCUCCAAGUGUAGAUGGAGAAUUAGACUUGGAUCACAGCAACAAGGAAAUUGGCUGAGCUUUUAGAAGAUUCUUUAAGGUUGCCAAUUUCUCUGAUAUCAGAAAACAAAGCUAGAACUUUCACAGAAUCACAGAACUGUAGGGAUUGGAAGGGACCUCCAGAGAUCAUCAAGUCCCACCCCAGUGCUAAAGCAGGCUUCCUACAGUAGGCUGCACAGUUAGGCAUCCAGAAGACUUUUGAAUAUCUCUGAAGAAGGAGACUCCACAACCUCUCUGGGCAGCCUCUUACUGUGCUUUCUCACCCUCACUGUGAAGAAGUUCCUUUGCAUGUUGGUGCAGAACUUCCUAUGCUCCAGUUUAUGGCCAUUUCCCCUUGACCUGUCCCCACGGACUGCUGAGAAGAGGUUGGCCACAUCCCUUUGACUCCCACACUUAAGACAUUUAUAAACAUUAAUAAAAUCACCUCUGAGUCUUCUUUU